rnacentral:rRNA from 1 species
GAUGAACGCUGACCGAAUGCUUAACACAUGCAAGUCUUUGGCGAAGCUGUGCUUGCACAGCCUAGCCAAGGCGGACGGGUGAGUAACGCGUAAGGAACUUGCCCUGCAGUCAGGGAUAACAGACGGAAACGACUGAUAAGACCUGGUAAAGUCAGGCGGACUCAUGUCCAGCCUGAUGAAAAGAGAUGCUGCAGGAGAGCCUUGCGUCCUAUUAGCUUGUUGGUGGGGCAACGGCCCACCAAGGCGAUGAUAGGUAGCCGGCCUGAGAGGGUGGACGGCCACAAGGGGACUGAGAUACGGCCCUUACUCCUACGGGAGGCAGCAGUGGGGAAUAUUGGACAAUGGGGGCAACCCUGAUCCAGCAAUUCUGUGCGCACGAUGAAGGUUUUCGGAUUGUAAAGUGCUUUCAGCAGGGAAGAAAAAAAUGACGGUACCUGCAGAAGAAGCGACGGCUAAAUACGUG